rnacentral:snRNA from 1 species
CUGAACUAAAUUGAACUGAUACUAAAAUUGGAAUGAUACAGAGAGAUUAGUCUGGCCCUUGCACAAGGAUGGCAUGCAAAUUCACGAAGUGCUCCUUACUGUU